rnacentral:rRNA from 1 species
GGGGAAUAUUGGGCAAUGGGCGAAAGCCUGACCCAGCAACGCCGCGUGAAGGAAGAAGGUUUUCGGAUUGUAAACUUCUGUCCUCAGGGAAGAAGGACGUGACGGUACCUGAGGAGGAAGCCCCGGCUAACUACGUGCCAGCAGCCGCGGUAAUACGUAGGGGGCGAGCGUUGUCCGGAAUGACUGGGCGUAAAGGGCGCGUAGACGGCUUUUUAAGUCUGGAGUGAAAGUCCUGCUUUCAAGGUGGGAAUUGCUUUGGAGACUGGAAGGCUUGAGUGCGGAAGAGGUAAGUGGAAUUCCCAGUGUAGCGGUGAAAUGCGUAGAGAUUGGGAGGAACACCAGUGGCGAAGGCGACUUACUGGGCCGUAACUGACGUUGAUGCGCGAAAGCGUGGGGAGCGAACAG